AAGAAACCUAAAGCCAAACCGAGCCAUC
rnacentral:sRNA from 1 species